GAACGCUGGCGGCAUGCCUAACACAUGCAAGUCGAACGGUAACGGACCGCUGGGAUUCCUCCGGGAUGACCUUGGUGCCGACGAGUGGCGGACGGGUGAGUAAUACUUAGGAAUCUGCCCAGUAGUGGGGGACAACAUUCGGAAACGGAUGCUAAUACCGCAUACGCCCUACGGGGGAAAGCGGGGGAUCUUCGGACCUCGCGCUAUUGGAUGAGCCUAAGUCGGAUUAGCUUGUUGGUGAGGUAAUAGCUCACCAAGGCGACGAUCCGUAGCUGGUCUGAGAGGACGAUCAGCCACACUGGGACUGAGACACGGCCCAGACUCCUACGGGAGGCAGCAGUGGGGAAUAUUGGACAAUGGGCGCAAGCCUGAUCCAGCAAUGCCGCGUGUGUGAAGAAGGCCUGCGGGUUGUAAAGCACUUUCAGUAGAGAAGAAAAGCCCAGGGUUAAUACCCCUGAGUCUUGACGUAACCUACAGAAGAAGCACCGGCUAACUCCGUG
rnacentral:rRNA from 1 species